CAGUCGCCACGGUAAUACAGAGGGUGCGAGCGUUAAUCGGAUUUACUGGGCGUAAAGCGUGCGUAGGCGGCUAAUUGAGUCGGAUGUGAAAUCCCCGAGCUUAACUUGGGAAUUGCAUUCGAUACUGGUUAGCUAGAGUGUGGGAGAGGAUGGUAGAAUUCCAGGUGUAGCGGUGAAAUGCGUAGAGAUCUGGAGGAAUACCGAUGGCGAAGGCAGCCAUCUGGCCUAACACUGACGCUGAGGUACGAAAGCAUGGGGAGCAAACAGGAUUAGAGACCCCCGUAGUCCCUGUCUCUUAUAC
rnacentral:rRNA from 1 species